rnacentral:rRNA from 1 species
CCGUAAUCGGAAUGAGUACACUUUAAAUCCUUUAACAAGGAUCCAUUGGAGGGCAAGUCUGGUGCCAGCAGCCGCGGUAAUUCCAGCUCCAAUAGCGUAUAUUAAAGUUGUUGCGGUUAAAAAGCUCGUAGUUGGUUCUGCGUGCCGCGCUGUCGGUUCGCCGCCUGUCGGUGUAACUGGCAUGUCGCGGCAUGUCCUGUCGGUGGUGAACGAGACCCCAGGUUCGUAGCAAAGGCUUUGCCUUUGCUGUGUUCUGUGGGUGGWGUCGUUUGCCGAUCUCUCCUACUCCGGUGCUCUUAAACGAGUGUCGAGGUAGGCCGACACGGUCACUUUGAACAAAUUAGAGUGCUUAAAGCAGGCUGAAAUAUCUGCCUGAAUAGUAGUGCAUGGAAUGAUGAAAUAGGACCUCGGUUCUAUUUUGUUGGUUUUAGGAAUAUGAGGUAAUGAUCAAUGUGGACUGGCGGGGGCAUUCGUAUUGCGACGUUAGAGGUGAAAUUCUUGGAUCGUCGCAAGACGCACUAAAGCGAAAGCAUUUGCCAAGUAUGUCUUAAUUGAUCAAGAACGAAAGUUAGAGGUUCGAAGGCGAUCAGAUACCGCCCUAGUUCUAACCAUAAACGAUGCCAGCCAGCGAUCCGCCGAUGUUCCUUUGAUGACUCGGCGGGGAGCUUCUACUCGGGAAACCAAAGCUUUUGGGUUCCGGGGGAAGUAUGGUUGCAAAGCUGAAACUUAAAGGAAUUGACGGAAGGGCACCACCAGGAGUGGAGCCUGCGGCUUAAUUUGACUCAACACGGGAAACC